rnacentral:rRNA from 1 species
UACGGGGGGAGCAAGCGUUGUUCGGAUUUACUGGGCGUAAAGGGCGCGUAGGCGGCCACCGCAAGUCGGUUGUGAAAUCUCUGGGCUUAACCCAGAAAGGUCAACCGAUACUGCGGGGCUAGAGUGCAGAAGGGGCAACUGGAAUUCUCGGUGUAGCGGUGAAAUGCGUAGAUAUUGGGAGGAACACCAGUGGCGAAGGCGGCUCGCUGGACCGGUUCUGACGCUGAGGCGCGAAAGCGUGGGGAGCAAACGGG